GAUGAACGCUAGCGGAAGGCUUAAUACAUGCAAGUCGAGCGGUAGGUGGCUUCGGCCAUUGAGAGCGGCGCACGGGUGAGUAACGCGUACAUGACCUGCCUGUCAGAAGGGGAUAGCCCUGGGAAACUGGGAUUAAUACCCUAUGGUAUUGAUAUUAUGAAUGAUAUCAAUUAAAGUUGAGGCGCUGACAGAUGGAUGUGCGUCUGAUUAGCUAGUUGGUAGGGUAACGGCCUACCAAGGCGACGAUCAGUAGGGGGCGUGAGAGCGUGGUCCCCCACACGGGUACUGAGACACGGACCCGACUCCUACGGGAGGCAGCAGUAAGGAAUAUUGGUCAAUGCCCGCAAGGGUGAACCAGCCAUUCCGCGUGGAGGAUGAAGGCCCUAUGGGUUGUAAACUUCUUUUAGAUGGGAAGAAAAUGCUAGAUGUAUCUGGUACUGACGGUACCAUCAGAAUAAGCACCGGCUAACUACGUGCCAGCAGCCGCGGUAAAACG
rnacentral:rRNA from 1 species